rnacentral:rRNA from 1 species
UACGUAGGGUGCAAGCGUUAUCCGGAAUCAUUGGGCGUAAAGAGCUCGUAGGCGGUUUGUCGCGUCUGCUGUGAAAACUGGGGGCUCAACUCCCAGCCUGCAGUGGGUACGGGCAGACUAGAGUGCGGUAGGGGAGAUUGGAAUUCCUGGUGUAGCGGUGGAAUGCGCAGAUAUCAGGAGGAACACCGAUGGCGAAGGCAGAUCUCUGGGCCGUAACUGACGCUGAGGAGCGAAAGCAUGGGGAGCGAACAGG